rnacentral:rRNA from 1 species
UACGUAGGGGGCAAGCGUUGUCCGGAAUCAUUGGGCGUAAAGAGCGUGUAGGCGGCCCGAUAAGUCCGCUGUGAAAGUCCAGGGCUCAACCCUGGAAUGCCGGUGGAUACUGUCGGGCUCGAAUCCGGAAGAGGUGAGUGGAAUUCCUGGUGUAGCGGUGAAAUGCGCAGGUAUCAGGAGGAACACCAAUGGCGAAGGCAGCCCACUGGGACGGUAUUGACGCUGAGACGCGAAAGCGUGGGGAGCAAACAGG